rnacentral:rRNA from 1 species
AGAGUUUGAUCCUGGCUCAGAUUGAACGCUGGCGGUAUGCUUAACACAUGCAAGUCGGACGAUGAGAAGGUGCUUGCACCUUUGAUUAGUGGCGGACGGGUGAGUAACGCGUAGGAAUCUGCCUGUCAGUGGGGGACAACUUGGGGAAACCCAAGCUAAUACCGCAUACGAUCCACGGAUGAAAGGAGGGGACCUUCGGGCCUUCCGCUGACAGAUGAGCCUGCGUAGGAUUAGCUAGUUGGUAGGGUAAAGGCCUACCAAGGCGACGAUCCUUAGCUGGUCUGAGAGGACGAUCAGCCACACUGGGACUGAGACACGGCCCAGACUCCUACGGGAGGCAGCAGUGGGGAAUAUUGGACAAUGGGCGCAAGCCUGAUCCAGCAAUACCGCGUGUGUGAAGAAGGCCCUAGGGUUGUAAAGCACUUUUAACCGGGAGGAACACCCGGCGGCCAAUACCCGCCGGACUGACAUUAC